CUUCCCCAGUGCUCCACCUUCCCCAGAGCACGGACCACGGAGGGAAGGAGAAGACUGCCCUGGAGGUCCUACACCUGUGGAAGGCCGUUGGGAAAGAAUCACGGGGUGUGCGGGGGUUCAGACACCGACACCGGGGUAGGCACGCCGUGAAUGCAGCCUGUGACCUGGACCGAAUCUCCCCAUUGUUGUCACCUACCAGGCAAUCGCGCAUAUCUGGGGCCAGUUUCUCACCCCGGGCAGUGGUGCCCAUGACUCUGCUGUGGGCCAUCCAACGUGCAGGAUGUUUAGCGGCAUCCCUGGCCUCCACCCACCAGGUGGCCAUAACACCUCCGAGUUGUGACAAGGACAGAUGUCCCCACACAUUACCAGAUAUCUCUGGGGAGGGGGAGGGAAGGGCAAAAUGACCCAGGAUGAGAACCACUAAGUGCCACAAAUGCCAAGGAAAUAAGGGAGCUAUGGCCAUGUUGCAUGGUACAAAGCACCGAACCGAAUGGCGCGGAGGUGGAAUGACUUUUGGCUUUGUUCCCAGAUGGGCUCCCCUAUCCCCGCCCUCAGCGGGCCUCCAAAAGGAGCCUAAGGGAGACCUUUGCUCAAGCAGAGACUGCUGAUCUGGGCAAGCUCAGCGAUAAAGCCCCCAAGGAGGGAGAUGCCCGCGGUCUUAGAUGUCUCCAGACCUCUGCUCUGCAUCCAUCUCCCCAGCUCCUCCUGAACCCCUGUCUAGCUCCCCCCACUGAGACUGAGAGAUCCUGAAGUCAAGUCUCUAAAUGUCAUGCAGAAAACUUAGAGCGUUGGGAGAAUUUUCUUAAAAGUCCCCAGGCUGCCUCAGGUUUCAGUGAUUUAUCCUUGGAGUAAGUAUAAAGCGUUGUUAACAAGCCCAAGAAUUAAUUCUGGAGCCGUUUAGGAGAUUCGGGGUGAUGAGGGAGUAUCUCUGCAGUCCGUGUGAAGCAACUGUGUUCUUUUGGAAUCAACCCAGUCCUAACAGGAGCUACUGACUGAUACGAUAUGAAUAUCCCAUUUGCCUCCGAGAGUCUAUGAUGUCUUGACUCGAGAAGACUCUGCCAAGUAGCAGGCAUGCCUUCCCUCUUUCCCCCACCCCAGCCCAGCGUUCUCCAGCUGGAAACGGGGAGACGU